rnacentral:rRNA from 1 species
GGUUAAGCGACUAAGCGUACACGGUGGAUGCCCUGGCAGUCAGAGGCGAUGAAGGACGUGCUAAUCUGCGAUAAGCGUCGGUAAGGUGAUAUGAACCGUUAUAACCGGCGAUUUCCGAAUGGGGAAACCCAGUGUGAUUCGUCACACUAUCAUUAACUGAAUCCAUAGGUUAAUGAGGCGAACCGGGGGAACUGAAACAUCUAAGUACCCCGAGGAAAAGAAAUCAACCGAGAUUCCCCCAGUAGCGGCGAGCGAACGGGGAGCAGCCCAGAGCCUGAAUCAGUGUGUGUGUUAGUGGAAGCGUCUGGAAAGGCGCGCGAUACAGGGUGACAGCCCCGUACACAAAAAUGCACAUGCUGUGAGCUCGAUGAGUAGGGCGGGACACGUGGUAUCCUGUCUGAAUAUGGGGGGACCAUCCUCCAAGGCUAAAUACUCCUGACUGACCGAUAGUGAACCAGUACCGUGAGGGAAAGGCGAAAAGAACCCCGGCGAGGGGAGUGAAAAAGAACCUGAAACCGUGUACGUACAAGCAGUGGGAGCACGCUUAGGCGUGUGACUGCGUACCUUUUGUAUAAUGGGUCAGCGACUUAUAUUCUGUAGCAAGGUUAACCGAAUAGGGGAGCCGAAGGGAAACCGAGUCUUAACUGGGCGUUAAGUUGCAGGGUAUAGACCCGAAACCCGGUGAUCUAGCCAUGGGCAGGUUGAAGGUUGGGUAACACUAACUGGAGGACCGAACCGACUAAUGUUGAAAAAUUAGCGGAUGACUUGUGGCUGGGGGUGAAAGGCCAAUCAAACCGGGAGAUAGCUGGUUCUCCCCGAAAGCUAUUUAGGUAGCGCCUCGUGAAUUCAUCUCCGGGGGUAGAGCACUGUUUCGGCAAGGGGGUCAUCCCGACUUACCAACCCGAUGCAAACUGCGAAUACCGGAGAAUGUUAUCACGGGAGACACACGGCGGGUGCUAACGUCCGUCGUGAAGAGGGAAACAACCCAGACCGCCAGCUAAGGUCCCAAAGUCAUGGUUAAGUGGGAAACGAUGUGGGAAGGCCCAGACAGCCAGGAUGUUGGCUUAGAAGCAGCCAUCAUUUAAAGAAAGCGUAAUAGCUCACUGGUCGAGUCGGCCUGCGCGGAAGAUGUAACGGGGCUAAACCAUGCACCGAAGCUGCGGCAGCGACGCUUAUGCGUUGUUGGGUAGGGGAGCGUUCUGUAAGCCUGUGAAGGUGUGCUGUGAGGCAUGCUGGAGGUAUCAGAAGUGCGAAUGCUGACAUAAGUAACGAUAAAGCGGGUGAAAAGCCCGCUCGCCGGAAGACCAAGGGUUCCUGUCCAACGUUAAUCGGGGCAGGGUGAGUCGACCCCUAAGGCGAGGCCGAAAGGCGUAGUCGAUGGGAAACAGGUUAAUAUUCCUGUACUUGGUGUUACUGCGAAGGGGGGACGGAGAAGGCUAUGUUGGCCGGGCGACGGUUGUCCCGGUUUAAGCGUGUAGGCUGGUUUUCCAGGCAAAUCCGGAAAAUCAAGGCUGAGGCGUGAUGACGAGGCACUACGGUGCUGAAGCAACAAAUGCCCUGCUUCCAGGAAAAGCCUCUAAGCAUCAGGUAACAUCAAAUCGUACCCCAAACCGACACAGGUGGUCAGGUAGAGAAUACCAAGGCGCUUGAGAGAAUUCGGGUGAAGGAACUAGGCAAAAUGGUGCCGUAACUUCGGGAGAAGGCACGCUGAUAUGUAGGUGAAGUCCCUCGCGGAUGGAGCUGAAAUCAGUCGAAGAUACCAGCUGGCUGCAACUGUUUAUUAAAAACACAGCACUGUGCAAACACGAAAGUGGACGUAUACGGUGUGACGCCUGCCCGGUGCCGGAAGGUUAAUUGAUGGGGUCAGCGCAAGCGAAGCUCUUGAUCGAAGCCCCGGUAAACGGCGGCCGUAACUAUAACGGUCCUAAGGUAGCGAAAUUCCUUGUCGGGUAAGUUCCGACCUGCACGAAUGGCGUAAUGAUGGCCAGGCUGUCUCCACCCGAGACUCAGUGAAAUUGAACUCGCUGUGAAGAUGCAGUGUACCCGCGGCAAGACGGAAAGACCCCGUGAACCUUUACUAUAGCUUGACACUGAACAUUGAGCCUUGAUGUGUAGGAUAGGUGGGAGGCUUAGAAGUGUGGACGCCAGUCUGCAUGGAGCCGACCUUGAAAUACCACCCUUUAAUGUUUGAUGUUCUAACGUUGACCCGUAAUCCGGGUUGCGGACAGUGUCUGGUGGGUAGUUUGACUGGGGCGGUCUCCUCCUAAAGAGUAACGGAGGAGCACGAAGGUUGGCUAAUCCUGGUCGGACAUCAGGAGGUUAGUGCAAUGGCAUAAGCCAGCUUGACUGCGAGCGUGACGGCGCGAGCAGGUGCGAAAGCAGGUCAUAGUGAUCCGGUGGUUCUGAAUGGAAGGGCCAUCGCUCAACGGAUAAAAGGUACUCCGGGGAUAACAGGCUGAUACCGCCCAAGAGUUCAUAUCGACGGCGGUGUUUGGCACCUCGAUGUCGGCUCAUCACAUCCUGGGGCUGAAGUAGGUCCCAAGGGUAUGGCUGUUCGCCAUUUAAAGUGGUACGCGAGCUGGGUUUAGAACGUCGUGAGACAGUUCGGUCCCUAUCUGCCGUGGGCGCUGGAGAACUGAGGGGGGCUGCUCCUAGUACGAGAGGACCGGAGUGGACGCAUCACUGGUGUUCGGGUUGUCAUGCCAAUGGCACUGCCCGGUAGCUAAAUGCGGAAGAGAUAAGUGCUGAAAGCAUCUAAGCACGAAACUUGCCCCGAGAUGAGUUCUCCCUGACUCCUUGAGAGUCCUGAAGGAACGUUGAAGACGACGACGUUGAUAGGCCGGGUGUGUAAGCGCAGCGAUGCGUUGAGCUAACCGGUACUAAUGAACCGUGAGGCUUAACCUU